AGAAUGGUAUCGAUGUUCUUGCUCAGGAAAUGGUAGAAGCUCAACUAUUACCACCAUCUGAAAUGGGCUCUAGUUCUUCCGGGAUGAACCAUGAAGAUGCUAAUGAACACAUGGAUUCUCAGUCUUCAGAGGAAGAUACCAAGGAACAAAAG